rnacentral:rRNA from 1 species
UACAGAGGUGGCAAGCGUUGUUCGGAAUUACUGGGCGUAAAGGGCGCGUAGGCGGCCCUCUCAGUCGGAUGUGAAAUCCCCAGGCUUAACCUGGGAACGGCAUCCGAUACUGGAGGGCUUGAAUUCGGGAGAGGGAUGCAGAAUUCCAGGUGUAGCGGUGAAAUGCGUAGAUAUCUGGAGGAAUACCGGUGGCGAAGGCGGCAUCCUGGACCGAGAUUGACGCUGAGGAGCGAAAGCUAGGGGAGCAAACGGG